rnacentral:rRNA from 1 species
UCGACGGCAGCACGGGAGCAAUCCUGGUGGCGAGUGGCGAACGGGUGAGUAAUGUAUCGGAACGUACCUUUCAGUGGGGGAUAACGUAGCGAAAGUUACGCUAAUACCGCAUAUUCUGUGAGCAGGAAAGCAGGGGAUCGCAAGACCUUGCGCUGAUUGAGCGGCCGAUAUCAGAUUAGCUAGUUGGUGAGGUAAAGGCUCACCAAGGCGACGAUCUGUAGCGGGUCUGAGAGGAUGAUCCGCCACACUGGAACUGAGACACGGUCCAGACUCCUACGGGAGGCAGCAGUGGGGAAUUUUGGACAAUGGGCGCAAGCCUGAUCCAGCCAUGCCGCGUGAGUGAAGAAGGCCUUCGGGUUGUAAAGCUCUUUCAGCCGGGAAGAAAACGCAUGGGUUAAUACCCUGUGUGGAUGACGGUACCGGAAUAAGAAGCACCGGCUAACUACGUGCCAGCAGCCGCGGUAAUACGUAGGGUGCGAGCGUUAAUCGGAAUUACUGGGCGUAAAGCGUGCGCAGGCGGUUUGUUAAGAUAGGCGUGAAAUCCCCGGGCUCAACCUGGGAACUGCGUUUAUGACUGGCAGGCUAGAGUAUGGCAGAGGGGGGUGGAAUUCCACGUGUAGCAGUGAAAUGCGUAGAGAUGUGGAGGAACACCGAUGGCGAAGGCAGCCCCCUGGGCCAAUACUGACGCUCAUGCACGAAAGCGUGGGUAGCAAACAGGAUUAGAUACCCUGGUAGUCCACGCCCUAAACGAUGUCAACUAGGUGUUGGGUGGGUAAAACCAUUUAGUACCGGAGCUAACGCGUGA